GUGUCAGCAGCCGCGGUAAUACGGGGGGGGCAAGCGUUGUUCGGAAUUACUGGGCGUAAAGGGUUAGUAGGUGGCCAACUAAGUCAGACGUGAAAUCCCUCAGCUUAACUGGGGAACUGCGUCUGAGACUGAUUGGCUCGAGGACAGGAGAGGAACGCGGAAUUCCAGGUGUAGCGGUGAAAUGCGUAGAUAUCUGGAGGAACACCGGUGGCGAAGGCGGCGUUCUGGACUGUUUCUGACACUGAAUAACGAAAGCCAGGGGAGCAAACGGGAUUAGAAACCCCAGUAGUCC
rnacentral:rRNA from 1 species